rnacentral:lncRNA from 1 species
GCUGUAAACAGACAUGUAUUAAGAUUUACGAUCAAAACAGUUUGGUAAUAUGUUUAGGUGUCCGUUUUGUGUGAAUAUUUUGAGAGCUUUACACAUGAUACACACUCAUCUGCAAAGUCACAAACCUCGCACAGUUUAUCACGAACCCUUGUACAUUGCUCCUGAGGUUGGGUUUGACUAUUCUGAGGCUAUAUGACUUGCAUAAGGAGAUUGUGGUGUGGGUUCUUGCUUGAAGACUCAGGGUAAAUAAAAAAUCUUUUUAUACAUUUAAAGUGAUGUCAGUUAGCACUUUGCAAUUAAUUUUUGUUUUCCCUCAAGGUCUCCUUAAGAACGAAAAAGACCUAGAAAU